rnacentral:rRNA from 1 species
GAAGCCGGAAUUGCUAGUAAUGGCAGGUCAGCAUACUGCCGUGAAUACGUUCCCGGGCCUUGUACACACCGCCCGUCACACCAUGAGAGUUGGGAAUACCCGAAGCCUGUGAGCUAACUUUAGGGGAGGCAGCAGUCGAAGGUAGAAUCAAUGAUUGGGGUGAAGUCGUAACAAGGUAUC